GGGAGUUGAAGUCCACAAGUCUUAAAGUUGCCAAGUUUGAAGUCCCCUGAUUUAAAAGAAGGGUAUUCAAACUUGGAGGAGGAAUUCUGGGAGUUGAAGUCCACAAGUUUUAAAGCUGUCAAGUUUGCAGUCCCAAUUUAAAAAAACAGUAAGUGUGUUAAUUUUUUUCCUAAAAAAAUAGUCAUAAAAUUUGGGAAAUGCUAGCUGCUUUUCUAUUUUUAGAAAGCAGCUGCAUUGUGAGGUUGUCAUUGUGUGUGUAUGGAAGUUCUUUUAAAUUCUGCUUUUAUGGUUUCUGAGAAAAUUAGUAACUUGUUUUGGAGUAUAACACUUCACCCUUAUUAAAGCUGGUUUUAACAUGUUGACAUUUCUGGAGCUGAGCCUGCUUGAUGGGUUUCCAGUGCUCACGAUUGCCCUGUUUUUGUUCUUGCCUGUGUCUUUUGUCUUUCCUAUCAUGGUGGUUAAUUCUGCCAGUUAUCAGGAAAAGGGGACCUCCAGGUGAUUUACCUUAAUAAUGGCUGUACUUUAGUGGUGCUUUUUGUUGUCUUGCUUGUCUGCCUGGGGGUUUCUUAAAGGCAGAAGGGCUGAGAUUUCUGGUGUGAGGUUUUGGGUCCUUGGGGGAACAAUCCAGGGUUUUUAUUGCAGUGGCUUCGUCUGG